AGGACGAACGCUGGCGGCGUGCUUAACACAUGCAAGUCGAGCGGUAAGGCCUUUCGGGGUACACGAGCGGCGAACGGGUGAGUAACACGUGGGUGAUCUGCCCUGCACUUCGGGAUAAGCCUGGGAAACUGGGUCUAAUACCGGAUAUGACCUCCUAUCGCAUGGUGGGUGGUGGAAAGAUUUAUCGGUGCAGGAUGGGCCCGCGGCCUAUCAGCUUGUUGGUGGGGUAAUGGCCUACCAAGGCGACGACGGGUAGCCGACCUGAGAGGGUCGACCGGCCACACUGGGACUGAGA
rnacentral:rRNA from 1 species